rnacentral:rRNA from 1 species
AGAGUUUGAUCGUGGCUCAGGAUGGACGCUAGCGGCGCGCUUAAUGCAUGCAAGUCGAGCGAUGAGGCUCCUACGGGAGUACAUCAGCGGCAGACGGGUGAGUAACACGUAGGUGACCUACCCUCAAGACGGGGAUAACGAGUGGAAACAUUUGCUAAUACCCGAUGACCUUACUAGGUCGAAGUAGUAAGGAAAGCUCCGGUGCUUGAGGAGGGGCCUGCGGCCCAUCAGCCAGUUGGUGAGGUAACGGCUCACCAAGGCGAAGACGGGUAGGGGGUGUGAGAGCAUGACCCCCCACAAUGGGACUGCGGCACGGCCCAUACUCCUACGGGAGGCAGCAGCAGGGAAUCUUGCACAAUGGACGGAAGUCUGAUGCAGCGACGCCGCGUGAGUGAAGACGGCCUUCGGGUUGUAAAACUCUUUUGAGGGGGAAGAGCAGGACGGUACCCUUCGAAUAAGCGUCGGCUAACUACGUGCCAGCAGCCGCGGUAAGACGUAGGACGCAAGCGUUAUCCGGAUUUACUGGGCGUAAAGCGUCUGUAGGCGGGUGUGUAAGUUGGAUGUGAAAGCUCCAUGCUCAACGUGGAGAGGCCAUACAAUACUGCACGCCUAGAGGGGGUCAGAGGAGUGUGGAAUUUCCGGUGUAGCGGUAAAAUGCGCAGAUAUCGGAAGGAACACCGGUGGCGAAGGCGGCACUCUGGGGCCCACCUGACGCUGAGAGACGAAAGCUAGGGGAGCGAACAGGAUUAGAGACCCUGGUAGUCCUAGCCCUAAACGCUGAAUGCUAGGUGUGGGGGCGUAGAGCCUCUGUGCCGGAGCUAACGCGAUAAGCAUUCCGCCUGGGGAGUACGGCCGCAAGGUUAAAACUCAAACGAAUUGACGGGACCCCGCACAAGCAGCGGAGCGUGUGGUUUAAUUCGAUUCUACACGAAGAACCUUACCUGGGUUUGACAUAUAGGUGGUAGGAAGCCGAAAGGCGACUGACCCUUCGGGGAGCUUAUACAGGUGCUGCAUGGCUGUCGUCAGCUCGUGCCGUGAGGUGUCGGGUUAAGUCCCGUAACGAGCGCAACCCUUGCCCUUAGUUAUACGUGUCUAAGGGGACUGCCGGCGGGAAGCCGGAGGAAGGUGGGGAUGACGUCAAGUCAGCAUGGCCCCUUAUAUCCAGGGCUACACACACGCUACAAUGGGCGGUACAGAGGGCAGCGAAGUCGCGAGGCGGAGCGAAUCCUAGAAAGCCGUUCGUAGUUCGAAUAGCAGGCUGCAACUCGCCUGCUUGAAGCUGGAGUUGCUAGUAACCGCGCGUCAGCUAUAGUGCGGUGAAUACGUUCCCGGGGUUUGUACACACCGCCCGUCACGUCAUGGGAGUUGGUAACGCCUGAAGCCGGUAGCUUAACGUUAACGCGGGAGCGCUGUCGAGGGCGGGACUGGCAACUGGGACGAAGUCGUAACAAGGUA